UACGGAGGGUGCAAGCGUUAAUCGGAAUCACUGGGCGUAAAGGGCGCGUAGGCGGCCAGGUCAGUCGGAUGUGAAAUCCCUCGGCUCAACCGGGGAACUGCAUUCGAUACUGCUUGGCUUGAGUGCUGGAGAGGGUGGCGGAAUUCCCGGUGUAGGAGUGAAAUCCGUAGAGAUCGGGAGGAACACCAGUGGCGAAGGCGGCCACCUGGACAGCAACUGACGCUGAGGCGCGAAAGCGUGGGUAGCAAACAGG
rnacentral:rRNA from 1 species